rnacentral:rRNA from 1 species
AUUGAACGCUGGCGGCGUGCUUAACACAUGCAAGUCGAUCGGUAACAGGUGUAGCAAUACAUGCUGACGAGAGGCGGACGGGUGAGUAAUGCUUGGGAAUCUGCCUAUUAGUGGGGGACAACCCGGGGAAACUCGGGCUAAUACCGCAUACGCUCUACGGAGGAAAGCCGGGGACCGCAAGGCCUGGCGCUAAUAGAUGAGCCCAAGUCGGAUUAGCUAGUUGGUAGGGUAACGGCCUACCAAGGCGACAAUCCGUAGCUGGUCUGAGAGGACGACCAGCCACACCGGAACUGAGACACGGUCCGGACUCCUACGGGAGGCAGUAGUGGGGAAUUUUUCGCAAUGGGCGCAAGCCUGACGAAGCAACGCCGCGUGGAGGAUGAAGGUCUUCGGAUUGUAAACUCCUGUCGACCGGGACGAAUGCACCGACCUAAUACGUCGAAGUGUUGACGGUACCGGUGGAGGAAGCCACGGCUAACUCUGUGCCAGCAGCCGCU